CUUUGCUCUGGAUCAUCAUUCCAAAAAUCAUCUAAAACAAGAAAUAAUUUGUUGCCCAUCAAUAUCUCCCGGAGUUUACAGUGAAGACUACUGUGAGGCAUGAGAUCACAAUCCAAAAACCCAAGCUCUUUGACAAUGAUUUUUGUUAGGUUGAAAACAUUAAGAUCUUGUCAAACAGAGACCCAUGCUUUCAGAUCAAACCACUUUCGCACGUCAUCACCAUGGUAGACAAAUCUUGCCAAUCCCAGGCAUGCCCACUAUGGGAAUUACCUGCAAACUUUCUCCUUCUGCAUCAUCGGAUAGAAGCAACUUCUUUAUGGCCUCCUUAGAUUGGUCCCUACCAUAAACUCGAGUGUGACCUAGCAGAGAAGUCGAAGGCACGCGCUCAUGAGAUGGCUGUUGCUUCAUCAGAUGGAGGCUACGAGCUUUGUUUCUAACCUUUCAAGUUUUGCGAAAAUCUUUUCUAAUUAAUGGGCCAUCUCUCCUUCCUCGUUCUUGCUUAAAGGACAAAGAAAGGAGAUAAAAAAAAGUUUCGCACCUGAUACAUGCCAGUUUGAGAGCCAGCUACCAACUCUAUUCAUCGAGCUUCAUUAUCAAUCUCAAUCAACAAGUCUUCAGCUUCAUAGAUAGCUUCUUUAGCAUCCGCAAUCCAAGUCUUCAGAACCAUCACAGUAAAACAGAUCUCUCCCAGCUUCAGUUAUUUGCUUCUCCUCGGCGCCAUUGAGCAAGCCAUUAACAGUAUUCAAUGUUUCUCUCAACUUCUCGAGCUUUUCCUUAUCGAUCUCCCCGCAUGUGCAAAAGCCCAGAAGCACAGGAACCAACUGCUGGCCCAGAAAACCAGCAGCACCAUUCAGACAUGCUAACGCCAUCUCAACUGCCAUGAUGAAUCUUUGCAGAGGGUGUGAGUGUGGAGAGGGAAAUGGUGAAUUGAGCAGUGGGGAAGUAAAGAACAGUGAGGAGAGUGAAUUGGGGCCGUUGACUAGGGAUUAAUCGACGGGUAGGAAUGUUUGGAUUCUCAAGACGAGAAUCGUGAUUCAUAGAGCUUUGAGAAAUUUAAACUACAGCCAACUUGGAAA